rnacentral:rRNA from 1 species
AUUGAACGCUGGCGGCAUGCCUUACACAUGCAAGUCGAACGGUAACAGGUUAAGCUGACGAGUGGCGAACGGGUGAGUAAUAUAUCGGAACGUGCCCAGUCGUGGGGGAUAACGUAGCGAAAGCUACGCUAAUACCGCAUACGAUCUACGGAUGAAAGCGGGGGAUCGCAAGACCUCGCGCGAUUGGAGCGGCCGAUAUCAGAUUAGGUUGUUGGUGAGGUAAAAGCUCACCAAGCCUGCGAUCUGUAGCUGGUCUGAGAGGACGACCAGCCACACUGGAACUGAGACACGGUCCAGACUCCGACGGGAGGCAGCAGUGGGGAAUUUUGGACAGUGGACGCAAGUCUGAUCCAGCAAUGCCGCGUGCAGGACGAAGGCCUUCGGGUUGUAAACUGCUUUUGUACGGAACGAAACGGUGAGCUCUAAUACAGUUUGCUAAUGACGGUACCGUAAGAAUAAGCACCGGCUAACUACGUGCCAGCAGCCGCAGUAA